CAGUCGCCGCGGUAAUACGGAGGGAGCUAGCGUUGUUCGGAAUUAUUGGGCGUAAAGGGUGCGUAGGCGGUUUGGCAAGUUUGGUGUGAAAUCUUCGGGCUCAACUCGAAGUCUGCAUCGAAAACUGCCGGGCUUGAGUAUGGGAGAGGUGAGUGGAAUUUCCGGUGUAGCGGUGAAAUGCGUAGAUAUCGGAAGGAACACCUGUGGCGAAAGCGGCUCACUGGACCAUAACUGACGCUGAUGCACGAAAGCUAGGGGAGCAAACAGGAUUAGAUACCCGCGUAGUCCCUGUCUCUUAUAA
rnacentral:rRNA from 1 species